rnacentral:rRNA from 1 species
CCUACGGGAGGCAGCAGUGGGGAAUAUUGGGCAAUGGAGGCAACUCUGACCCAGCAACGCCGCGUGAAUGAUGAAGGUCUUCGGAUUGUAAAGCUCUGUGAUGGGGGAUGAACACAAUGACGGUACCCCAAUAGCAAGCCACGGCUAACUACGUGCCAGCAGCCGCGGUAAUACGUAGGUGGCAAGCGUUGUCCGGAAUGACUGGGCGUAAAGUGCGCGUAGGUGGUUUAGUAAGUUGGCGGUGUAAUUCCCGGGCUCAACCUGGGCGCGCCCGCGAAAACUCUGAGACUUGAGUGCAGGAGGGGUGAGUGGAAUUCCUAGUGUAGCGGUGGAAUGCGUAGAUAUAAGGAGGAACAUCAGGGGCGAAGGCGACUUACUGGACUGUAACUGACGCUGAGGCACGAAAGCGUGGGGAGCAAACAGGAUUAGAUACCCUAGUAGUC